UCCAUUGGUUGUUUAGAAGUUAUUUGAUUUUCUAUGUAUUUGUGACUUUUCCUAAAUGCCUCUUGUUACUGAUUUCUCAUUUCAUACUAUCGUGCCCAGAAAAUAUGCUUAAUGUUAGCUCAAUCUUCUUGAAUUUGUCAAGACUAGUUUUUGGAGAAUGUUUCAUGUGCACUUAAGAAGAAUGUAUAUUCUGCUUCUGCUGGGUGAAAUUUUCUAUAUAUGUCUGUUAGGUCUAUUUGAUCUACAGUGUUAUUCAAAUCUGCUGUUUCCUUGAUUUUGUGCCUGGAUGUUCUAUCCAUUGUUGACAGUAGGGUGUGGAGACUCUCUACUAUUGUUGCAUUUUUAUUUAUUUCUCCUUUCAGUUCUGUUAGUAUUUAUUUUACAUAUAUAGGUAUUCUGAUGUUGAGUGCAUCAAUAUCUAUAAUUUUUAUAUCUUCUUGAUGAAUUGACCCCUUUAUCAUUAUAAAAUACCUUUCUUUGUAUCAUGACGAUUUUUGACUUAACUUUUUCUUAUCUAAUGUAAGUAUGAUCCCCUCUGUUCUCUUUUGGUUACUGUUUUUAUGUAAUAUCUCUCUCUACCCCUUCACUUUUAGCUUAUGUGUGCCCCUAAAGCUAAAAUGAGUUUCUUGUAGGCAGAAUAUCAUUUGGUUUUUCUUAUAUUCAUUUAGCCACUCCAUGUCUUUAGAGAACUUCAUACAUUUAUAUUUAAAGUAAUUAUUAAUAGGCAGGGACUUAUUACUAAUGCCAUUUUGUUAAUUGUUUUUUAACUAAUACAUCAUUUUUUCCUUUCUUUCUCUCUUGCUAUCUUCUGUAAUUUGGUCAAUUUUUCAUGGUGGUUCCAAAUCAACUUUGCAAGGGAAAAACAAGGCUCAGUUUCAGACCGGAAUCUAUACCAUCAACUCCCCAGCCAUCGAGCCUUUGAACUGUUCCAUUGACUUUUCUGGGUUUCUAGCCUGAAGAUGGCUGAUUGUGGGACUUCUCACCCUCCAUAGUCAAAUGGUGUCAGAAGCGUCGUUCAAAGUAGAGAGCUUUAAUGAACCCCAGAAUUGCUGAGUGAACAAGCAAGGUACCUGCAAGGACCCACUUGUUUCCUUUGAUCUCUCAGAGCAGUGGCAUCUUAAUUGCCUCUUUUAAGAACUUUGGGAAGUGGACCCUACAUUGUAAAGAUAGGAUUCAGCAAAGCAGAAUGUUGCUCAAAAGUUGCUCAAAAAGCAAACCAGUGUUAAAGUGAUGAUUCCUUUGUGCUUAUUGUUCUACUCACCACACAUCUGUAAGUAUCAUUAUUGUUCUGAACCAUUUCAGUAAGUUGAUUUCACUAAGAAAUUCUUUGAAAUUAGAUUCCUUAUUUUUAUCAUUUUUGUCUCCAAUCUCUUGACUGGUUUAGAAAAUUUCAUUUGCUUCUUGUGAAGUACAAGACUGAAGAUUCAUAUUGCACAUAAAAAAUUAAUUCUUGGUCCAUUAUUAUUUUCAACCUGUGUUAAUAAUGUAUUAGAUGAGUUUAUUGCAUAGAUGUGAAGGUAUAGAUGGGCACAUUUUGGGUUAGACUGGUCAGAUAUGAUUCUGAGAUCACUCUAAUUCCAAACCAAAUUUAAUGCUAUUGGUUUAAUGUUUUAAGAAAUAUGACUCUCAGUUCAUAAGAGGGGUUUAUUCAAAGUGUACAAUGUUUUAGUAAAGGCUAUAUUUCUGAUAUUGAUUAAGCCAUCUUCCACUGGUGUACGAAUGAUUAAUUAACUAUUAAAUCUUAUGACAUGAGCAAGCCACAGGACCAACUUUUUAAAAACUGCUGAAGUACAAGUACAACUGCAUAAAAAGGACAUAAAAACCUAAUAUACAUCUUUCCUAAUAUUAUGUCUAUUUUAACAGUAUAUAAAAUAAAUACUUUUUUAAGAUUUAAAAAAUUGCACUUAAAUAAUUAUAUUCAAAACAAUUAUAUUCAAAACAUUUAUCACUCCUACUGUAUCUACCAUAUACAACAGUACUCCAGUUUUUUUCAAGGAAAAAUAAAUCUUUUAUUCCAAGAAAUAAAGUCAUGGGCUACAAAUAAAUAAAGUAAAAGCAUAAGAUAAUCUUUUUUACAAGUUCUUAAGUUCUUUAAUAAUAAAAUUCUCAUUCCUAAACAUU